UACAGAGGGUGCGAGCGUUGUCCGGAAUCACUGGGCGUAAAGGGCGCGUAGGCGGCUUGAUAAGGUUGCGGUGAAAGCCCGGGGCUCAACCCCGGGUCGGCCGUGGCAACUGUCGAGCUGGAGCACUGUAGAGGCAGGUGGAAUUCCGGGUGUAGCGGUGGAAUGCGUAGAGAUCCGGAAGAACACCGGUGGCGAAGGCGGCCUGCUGGGCAGUGGCUGACGCUGAGGCGCGCAGCGUGGGGAGCAAAC
rnacentral:rRNA from 1 species